rnacentral:misc_RNA from 1 species
AACGCAAAUGGCACUCUAUGGUAUUCCGUAGAGUACGUCUGUUUGAGCGUCGCGAACAUCUCCAUAAUUAGUUUUUUUAAAUUAAUUAAGGGUUUUGAGGUUGUCAUUGUAUAGUGACUCCCUUUAAAAUGAUUAGUGAUGACCUUAUGAAUGGGUUAAUACUGUGUGUUAUAAUGGAUUACAUCCAUCACCAGUCAGAGAGUAAUCUCGCCUUAGUAAUUUGAUAGUGAUUGCUUCUAAUCGCCUUUAUUGGCAACCUAAUGAUCAAAUCGACCUCAAAUCAGAUGGGAUUACCCGCUGAACUUAA